UACUUCUGUGUAGUGACCAGCAGGGGGCGACUCCUCUGCUCCCAUAGACGUCUAUGAGGAAAUGACUCUACUUCUCUCUUGAUUUAUUCCCUCAGUAAACAUUGUAAACAUGAGUUUAUGGUCUCAGUCUCUAGUUUCAAGUCUUCUUCAAUGCAGCAUGAUGUUCAUUUAGUGAAUGAUGGUCCAUUUAGAGUCAAACAGACCAUAAAGAGGGGAUGCUUUAGGGCGGGGUUACACGCUGAUUGACAGGUCUCUAACAGACCAUAAAGCAGGAGGUGCUUCACUAUGUGUUUUCACAUAGUUAAUUAUAACAUUUUGUUUGUACUUCCCUCAAGUACAAAAUGAUAUAUUUCUCACACCUUUGCUGUUUAUUAGUAGGAAGGUUGGUUCCAUGUAAUCAUUAUAUAAUACGGAGCUGUUACUAACUUGGUUUUUACACUUUGUUUUCCAAGAUGCUCAGACAGUGUGAUGUUUUCAUCACAGCUUUGGUCAACACACAGCGGGAGACGGAGCCAGAGCAAAGAACGAGGGACGCUCUAACGAAUACCCAGUGAUGUCCUGUUGCAUCUUGGGAAAGAAACAAGCUUGUUCUCAAAGCAAGGUCUCACAGUCUGACCUGCAGUCCUGGUACUGGUUCUCCAGGGCCUCCCUUCACUCCAGAACGUCCAGCACUACGUCCUCGUUCUCCAGAGAGGAGAAGCUCUGCUCCCGGAGGAGGAGAAGGAGCAAGAGGAGGAAGAGGAGGAGAAGGAGGAGACCACACAGAGACUGGUUCAUGUAGAGGAUUUAUGGGCUUGACGAGGUCCUUUGAUCCUGAACCCAUCAAACACAACCAUACAAGGUUCUGGAUGCCGAGUGGCUGCAGGUUCCCAGUUUGACCUCACGCGUCUCGCCACAGGGGGGCGCCGCUGAUCCACCUCGGUACUGCAUGCUGCCGAGACAUCUUCAUCCUCGCCACCUUCAUCCUCAUCAUCAAUCAAGAGUCUCUUCAUCCACACGAGCAGAAGACAAAGUGACAAAGGUGUGAAAGGUCACACAGACGUGUGUGUGUGUGUUUCCAUAGUAAAUAUGUAAAUAUGAUUGAAAAUAUUCAUAAUUAACAAAAACACUUUAAAAAUUGAGAUUAUUCUGAUAUUACUGAAAAAUAAAAUGUAAUAUACAGUAACAAUGAAUCUCUGUAUCUAUGCCUGUACACCAAAGGAGAAAAUAAUUAUAAAAUGACUUUAAUAACCCGUAAUAUGAAGUAAGGGGGGGUGUAAUAUCUCAAUUAGACAUUGUCUUUAUUAAAAUCCCAAC